GAUGAAGAACGUAGCGAAAUGCGAUAAGUAAUGUGAAUUGCAGAAUUCAGUGAAUCAUCGAAUCUUUGAACGCACAUUGCGCCCGCCAGCACUCUGGCGGGCAUGCCUGUUCGAGCGUCAUUUCAACCAUCAAGCCCCCAGGAGCUUGUGCUGGGGCCCUGCGGCUGCCCGCAGGCCCUGAAAACCAGUGGCGGGCUCGCUAGUCACACCGAGCGCAGUAGCACAUCUCGCUCAGGGCGUGCGGCGGGCUCCUGCCGUGAAACCCCCCACUGUAACCCCAAAGGUUGACCUCGGAUCAGGUAGGAAUACCCGCUGAACUUAAGCAUAUCAAUAAGCGGAGGA
rnacentral:misc_RNA from 1 species